rnacentral:lncRNA from 1 species
AAAACACUAGAAUAAAAUAUAUAGAAAACUUCAUAGUCCUAAGUUUAUGAAUAACAAUCACUAGGCCACAAAGCUCUACAUGUCAGCGAUAAAGAGAAGAUGCAAUUGGAAUAGGGUUGGGCUCACAAACCGAUAUAGGGUCUGGGUCACUCCAUCGACCAGACAAGAUAAUUGAUAUAGUGGGUGCAACAAAGGUGUACGACCCUCCAAUCACCACAGGUAAUCGAGUCCCAAACCAUGUCUGCAGCAAGGUGUUCAAGCCAGCAACAAAGAGCAGAGUCUGAAUAACUUUUGCUUUCUCCUCCUAGAAAAAAGGUUAGUGUGUAAUUCGUUUAUCUGGUGAAUUAACCAAGUCAGUAUUAGAAAGAAUUUUACAGGAUCUAGAAAUCAAAUGUCUCACAUUUCCUCCCCCCAUUUGAGGAACCAAAGCAGUAGGUAUGAUAACGGUUGUGCCAAGCAUCACCAAGUAAUGUUGAAAUCCAAGAAGGAUGGCCUCAGCUGCAACAAAACAGUCCAGGAUUAUCAAUGAAGCAAUCAGAACCCACGGAGUACGUAUGAAAGGUGCAAUGCAACUUCAAUUAUACACACAUUGCUCAAGGAAUGAGUCUGAAAAUAUUCAACAAAUUCUAGAUCCCGUCUUAGUGAGGAAAGCAUUUUAAAGAAUUGGACAUCUUAUCCACUUAUGCUACAUAUAAAAUUCACAUGGCGUGGCUCUCCAUUUUUCAAAAGACUUGUAUUGGUACAAGCUGGAAAUUGGCCAAUUCGGCAGCCUUUUGAUUAAUUGCUUGUGGAAUCAAGUUCUUUUUUCAUUUCUUUAUCAGAAGAUACAAGUUGACUUUCGAGUAUAUACACAUGAAGGGUUAACAGAAUCAGAAGAUUUAAACUUGGCUGAACUCAAAAUCCGCUAUCACUUUCUACCUAAACUAAAAAAGUAUUAGACAAGAAGAAUAAGUAUAUACACUCAGAAUAAACAACAACAGAAGAUCAAAAACAAAUUGGCUUCCAGCCCACCAAAAAGAGAGAGUGACAGAAGGAAAAAAAAGAGAGAGAAAAAAAAUCAAGAACAACAUGGUUCAAGUAAUCCACUACUACUUUAUACUAAAACCCAAAAGAUUAACAAAAAGAAUACUAGAUUGUGAAGAAAUGUUAACAAAAAGACGAGAGACUGACGCCAUGGAGGAGGACUGUUAAUGCAGUAGGAAACGCUUGAAAGCUGAUCCUUUGGUGGAUGUGGCGCUGGCUCAUCUGCCUUCGGAGCUCCACCGCCAGCCAUUGUUUAGCUUUUUCCUCUCUCUAGAAAAAUGUUAGGAAAAAAAUGUUUCCAAGAUUUUUCACAGUCUAGUAGAAUCAACCUGAAAAAACCCAGAUCAGGAAUCUUUAAAAAAAUCAUAAAAUGACUGCAGAGAUGAAAGAAAGACUGCAACUUUUUGAGAACGCCAUAAAGGUGAGAUUCAAUAAAAAGCUCACAAAUCACAAAUAAAUGAACCACACAACACCAAAAACAAUCUGCAUUUACUUUUAACGCAUCGUACAACCUACCUUUUGCAUCACAAGUUUGAGAGAGAGAGAGAGAGAGAGAGAGCAAAACGAGGGGGGUAAAUAAGGUGCAGGUUUACGUAAUUUCUAGCAUGUUUGAUACACAAUACUUGAUGCGGAUGGGAUGAGACUGAAGAGUAUAAUAAACAAGAUUUUAUCCUCUUUACAAAAAAUGCCAUUGAUGUCUAAAGAAGAUCGUCAAGCUACGACCUAUUCAAAGGACAGAAUUCAUGUAAAUUUGCUGCAGGUUUACAGCAUUUCUAGCAUGUUUGAUACACAAUACUUGAUGCGGAUGGGAUGAGACUGAAGAGUAUAAUAAACAAGAUUUUAUCCUCUUUACAAAAAAUGCCAUUGAUGUCUAAAGAAGAUCGUCAAGCUACGACCUAUUCAAAGGACAGAAUUCAUGUAAAUUUGCUGCAGGUUUACAGCAUUUCUAGCAUGUUUGAUACACAAUAUGGGAUGGGGACGGGACGAGACUGAAGAGUAUAAUAAACAAGAUUUUAUUAUCUUUACAAAAAAUGCCGUCGGUGUCUAAAGAAGAUCAUCAAGAUAUGACCUAUUCAAAGGACAGAAUUCAUGUAAAAGCCUUGGUUUUGCCUUCUAUUUCUUCUUUUCUUCUGUUUGUGUGUUUUUUUUCCUUUUUCUUUUUUACUUUUGGAGGGGGGGUUUUGUUCAUGAGGUGGGGAGUGUUGGUUAUGUAAGAUGCCUUGUUUACCUGCCAACCUACACCACGGCUGAGAAUAGAUGGCGGCAAGGGGGUUGCACUGGCAUAUCUUGAAAUUGCUAUAAAGCCACCAGUGGACUGCAUUUCCAUAGAGAACAAGUGAAGAAUAAGUCAAAUACAACAUUCCACAUUAUCAGAAUUCACCGAGGUACAAAUUCAGUUCAAAAAGAGAUGGUUUUGAAGUAUAAUGGAGAUGCAAACAAGCCACAUUUGACCUUUUCGUCAGACAUUUUGAUGGAAAGGUAUAUUUCUCCCACAGUACUAAAAAUUUAUUCAAAAUCACGAAAAAGUUGAUAUAUGUGUUUGGCUUCUGCAUGAAGAUUGCGUCAGUUACAUAUCCGAAUAGAGGCAGUAAAAUUAAGAGAGCAUGUUUGGCAAAUUUGCUUAUAAGUGAACAAGUGUAAAAAUAUAAGUAUUUCUUUAUGAAAGUUGGAAAUAAUAGGUACUUAUUUUAACACUAAAAUAACAAUUACUUACAAAAUAAGUAACUAUUGUUACUUAAUAGGUAAGAAAAAAGUAACAUAUCCAACAUGUUUAGAAACAAAAAGUUUUUCCUUUUUUAUAAGCUUAGCCAAACAUGCUCUGAAUAUUAAGAAACAGACAGAGUUAAGCAGGAAGUUUUUAACAUUCAUCGAACCCUGUUUGGUCUAGCUUAAAAACCUAAUAAAUAUAUAGUUAAAGUCAACAAUUAAUUUUAACCAUACAUUUCAUGAGAUUCGUAACUUUUUGACCACAUUUCAUCAACUUUUAUCUAAAUUUAUUAAAAUCUGAUUUUUAGCUACACCAAAAAAGGGUAUAGUAUAAUGCACAAAUGGUUCGAGUGUGUACAUGCAUGAAGGAGCAGCUCUAGUUCAAUUGGGGAGAAUGUGAGAAACAAAGGUAAAUAAACAGGAGAAGAUGAAUAGAGCGAAAAAAAGAGAAAAGAAAAAGAGAGGAAAAAACCAAAUACUUUAGUCACCAUCAGGGUAAAAAAUGAAAACUGAAGUUGUAAUGACACAGAAACAAAGAGACAAACAUGCCUCCACAAGAGCAACAAAUGCAGCCAUCAUCAUGGCAAAGGCUUCACCAGCAUCAAAUGAAGGUCCUCCCCAUUGAAAUGGGUAUGGAACUCUUAUCCUGCAUAUGCAAACCACGUAAAACCUUUAGAAGUGCUAUUGCCCAUUUGUCAUGUAAAUGCAAGUCUCGUUCUCAGUGCAUUUAGUAUAUCAAAUAAUUUACUUUUGGCUUAAGCAAAAUCCUACUAAUCGUUUAUAUCAACUAAAACAUAACACCCGCUGGAGUUACAGUAUCACCACACUACAGUUUCACAGUGGCAUCAUCAAAUUAGCUGGAUGAUACAUGAAAUUAGAGAAAAAUGAGCAUCCGUUUCUUUUGAUCAACUUAUUUGUGUCGUAUUAGAUUUUUUCAGCGUCAUCUAUCUCCACCCAGCAGAAGAUCUAUCUGAUUGUUGUCUAUCCUAAUAAAGUGCCCCUAACUCUAAAUCUAUAAUGAUAACAGAACAGGUGAAAAAUUCCUUAACGGCAUGUUUGGUAAUAUGGAUUAGGUAGUAAUGAACAAAAUUACGGAAGAAAUAUAAAGUUAAGAUUGUACUUUAAUCUAAUAUUGCAUAUUAAGGUGGUGUUUGGUGGGGAUUUUAAGCCAAUUAAAAUCAAUUUUUUUAUUGUCAUUUCACUAUUUUAGCCGUCAGUUUUGAAUUGUUCUCUCACAGGUAGAACCUACUUUAUCUUUAACGGUCAAAAAAUCAAUUCUCAAAAUCUCUACCAAAUGCCCUCUAAACAUGCACUAAAUGAAUGGAUAAGGUUCAUAAAGCACAAAAACCUCAGCAAUUUUUGACAUAACUUUUUUUUUUUUUUUUGGAAUAAAUAAAUAAUAGGUCGUGCAAGAAAGGCAUGCAAGUUCAGAGGACAAGUCAUGAAAGUAAGCACUGACAGAAGUGGAAAUGUUUCACACACAUAAACAACAAAUGUUAGGCCAGCCCCAGUUCCACAUAAGCUGACAAGGUACAGAGAAUAAUUAUCACAAUUAAGGUGGGGAAAGCUCAGCUUACCAUGGAGCAGCAUUAAUAAGUCCAGCACGAUCAGUUCUGCAGCUUGCUUGGGUCUUCGGUGCCUUGUUGUCAUAGGCCCCACCCACAGUAAGUAGAUGGGCAUAAAUCCACACAAUUACUACCGAGAAUAUAACAGCAAAACGGUCAAAGAUAUGCUUUCCUGGGCGUAUAAUGUGGGCCAAAUACUGCAAUGACCAGCAAAUUAAUUGCAUCAUGUUAGUUGAAAUUAUGGUGCAUGAGAUGGGACAAAUACUGCAAUAAUAAGCAAAAUUAAUUCUAUCGUGAUAGCUGUGAUUCCACAAUAGCAUGAAGCAUAAGUUACUUUCAGUUUUAUAGCUAAAUACUUCUAUGAGGUGGUCUCUUUUAAGAAAGAGUGUGUGUAAUAAUGAAAGUGCAAUUAUGACGUUACCUGAGAAAUGAAAAUUAGAAUGAUGAGCUGCGGCAAUCCGAUUUCAACACAUUUGGCAACCUAAAAACCAAGGGAAAAGAUCAGAUAAAAGCCAAUUGUUUUACAAACAUGCAGAGAAAAUGAAUAUCCAUGGGUGGAGGGUUGAGAGAGAGAGACAUCAAUAGACACUUGUGCAUACCCCAGGAAAACCGAACUCAUAGAGCCCAAAACCAGCAAGAGCAACCAAGGGAACAGCCGAAAGUGGAGUCAGAAACCUGCAUUGCAUAGAAAUGAUUUGACUCUUAUUAAAUGAAAAAUGAGAACUGAUUCUGAAUAUGAAAAUCCCCCUGGAUAUCUACAACAAAUGAUAUCUACAAGAAAGCUGGGUAGUUUUUACGAGUAAAUUAACAGGAUAUGGAACAAAAAUCUUAUUGAGUUUAAAUGUAUAGUAAAGGCAAGCGCUAGCCUAGAUCAUGCAUUCUAUGUACUAUUUUCCUGCUUUUGUCUCUUCCCUAUUUAUCAGUCUUUUUAAGCCCCUCCCCUCAGAAGGGGACGAGCUUGACCUCAUUUCUCUUAGUCUAUUGUUUGAAUAGAGGGGAACUCCUAAGUCAGCUAGGCUAAGGCCGAUAAGGACCUUUUUUCGCCCCUACCCUCGAAGGCAAGGCUAUAAAGUCGCUUUCACACAGAAAACACUUUCAGAAAAGUGCGAAAUGGGUUGCACCUUGAAUUAUAUGAUUUUAAACCCCAGCUGUAACUUAAACAAGUUGAGCUACGCACAGCUCAAUUAUUUUGUGCUUGCUAAACCAAGACUGAACAAUAAGAAAAGAGGAAACAAGAAGUUUCCUGCUAGAUUACUAACACCAAUAUAAGAACAUCCCAAUCUUUUGAGUUAGUCUAAAACUAAUAGCAUUUAUCCGGAUCCCAUAACAUAAAACAAACCUUGUGAUGUUACGCCAAAGACCACUGAAACCUAGGACUAUUUGAAUAGUUGAGGCAACAAUAAGUGCGCCCUGGGUGGCCCGCAUUAUCUUCUUGAAUCUCUGCAUGGGAAUCAAAAGUUCUAACACAUUAAAAGUGAGAAUUCAACAAGAGUAACUAGGGUAAUUAUGUUCGUUUUCUUGUUAAAACUAGUCUCUUUGUACACAUUAAUAUGCAGAAUCAAGCAGAAUGAGGCAGCAAUAUAUGACAAAUCUUCAUCAAAGCCUUGCUUGACAAAAAAGGAAUAUGUUUGACCAAUAAUCCUGAAACUGAUUAGCCUGGCCAACUUUUUUAUUGUCAACUCAACCAAAAUUAAAACAGCAGCAUUUAUUAGUGUUAGCAAUUGGCUUAGAAAAACACUAGAAUAAAAUAUAUAGAAAACUUCAUAGUCCUAAGUUUAUGAAUAACAAUCACUAGGCCACAAAGCUCUACAUGUCAGCGAUAAAGAGAAGAUGCAAUUGGAAUAGGGUUGGGCUCACAAACCGAUAUAGGGUCUGGGUCACUCCAUCGACCAGACAAGAUAAUUGAUAUAGUGGGUGCAACAAAGGUGUACGACCCUCCAAUCACCACAGGUAAUCGAGUCCCAAACCAUGUCUGCAGCAAGGUGUUCAAGCCAGCAACAAAGAGCAGAGUCUGAAUAACUUUUGCUUUCUCCUCCUAGAAAAAAGGUUAGUGUGUAAUUCGUUUAUCUGGUGAAUUAACCAAGUCAGUAU